UACGUAGGCUGCGAGCGUUGUUCGGAGUUACUGGGCGUAAAGCGUGCGUAGGCGGUGGUCCAAGUCUGGUGUGAAAUCUCCCGGCUUAACUGGGAGGGUGCGCCGGAAACUGGGCCGCUGGAGUACGGGAGAGGCAAGCGGAAUUCCAGGUGUAGCGGUGAAAUGCGUAGAUAUCUGGAGGAACACCCGUGGUGCAGACGGCUUGCUGGACCGUGACUGACGCUGAGGCACGAAAGCGUGGGUAGCAAACAGG
rnacentral:rRNA from 1 species